rnacentral:rRNA from 1 species
AUUGAACGCUGGCGGCAGGCCUAACACAUGCAAGUCGAGCGAGCGGCGGACGGGUGAGUAAUGUAUGGGGAUCUGCCCGAUAGAGGGGGAUAACUACUGGAAACGGUGGCUAAUACCGCAUACUAUCGGUUGAACCCAUAUGGGAUUCGCUAGUAGGGGGGGUAAAGGCUCACCUAGGCGACGAUCUCUAUCUGGUCUGAGAGGAUGACCAGCCACACUGGAAGUGAGACACGGUCCAGACUCCUACGGGAGGAAGCAGUGGGGAAUAUUGCACAAUGGGCGCAAGCCGGAUGAAGCCAUGCCGCGGGUGUGAAGAAGGCCUUCGGGUUGUAAAGCACUUUCAGCGAGGAGGCGUUACUCGCAGAAGAAGCACCGGCUAACUCCGUGCCAGCAGCCGCGGUAAUAC